rnacentral:rRNA from 1 species
AAUAUUGGACAAUGGGCGAAAGCCUGAUCCAGCAAUGCCGCGUGAGUGAUGAAGGCCUUAGGGUUGUAAAGCUCUUUUACUAGGGAUGAUAAUGACAGUACCUAGAGAAUAAGCUCCGGCUAACUCCGUGCCAGCAGCCGCGGUAAUACGGAGGGAGCUAGCGUUGUUCGGAAUUACUGGGCGUAAAGAGAACGUAGGCGGCUAUCCAAGUCAGGGGUGAAAUCCCGGGGCUCAACCCCGGAACUGCCCUUGAAACUAGGUAGCUAGAAUUCUGGAGAGGUUAGUGGAAUUCCGAGUGUAGAGGUGAAAUUCGUAGAUAUUCGGAAGAACACCAGUGGCGAAGGCGACUGACUGGACAGAUAUUGACGCUGAGGUUCGAAAGCGUGGGGAGCAAACAGGAUUAGAUACCCUGGUAGUCCACGCCGUA